rnacentral:lncRNA from 1 species
GAUCAAUUCAGAUAUGUCAUAUCCAUAUAAUCAUGCCAUCAAUCUCUAAUACAUAUAUAUUGACAUAACAUACUCAUGCUCAAAAUCAAAUAACAGUAUCUCAGGUAUAAUAAUUUCAUCGAUCUCAAAUCGGACGAUGCAAAACCAACGAUGCAAGACCAACAGUAAAAUAACAUAUAUAUAAUAGUGAUCAUGUACAGAGAUUCUUACCUUUACCGGUGACUGAUCCAAGCACAG